rnacentral:rRNA from 1 species
UCCGUAGGCGGUGUGGCAAGUCGGAAGUGAAAUCUCUGGGCUUAACUCAGAGGCUGCUUCCGAAACUGCCGUGCUAGAGUGCGAGAGAGGCAAGUGGAAUUGCGGGUGUAGCGGUGAAAUGCGUAGAUAUCCGCAGGAACAUCCGAGGCGAAAGCGGCUUGCUGGAUCGCAACUGACGCUGAGGGACGAAAGCUAAGGGGAGCAAACAGGAUUAGAUACCCUGGUAGUCCUAGCCCUAAACCAUCAGGACUUGGGGUUUGCCCUGUACGGGGCAAGUCCCGUAGCUAACGCGUUAAGUCCUGCGCCUGGGGAGUACGGUCGCAAGGCUGAA